UGGGGAAUAUUGCACAAUGGGGGAAACCCUGAUGCAGCGACGCCGCGUGAACGAAGAAGGUAUUCGUAUCGUAAAGUUCUGUCCUAUGGGAAGAUAAUGACAGUACCAUAGAAGAAAGCUCCGGCUAAAUACGUGCAAGCAGCCGCGGUAAUACGUAUGGCGCGAGCGUUGUCCGGAAUUAUUGGGCGUAAAGGGUACGCAGGCGGUUUAAUAAGUCGAAUGUUAAAGAUCGGGGCUCAACCCCGCAAAGCAUUGGAAACUGAUAAACUUGAGUAGUGGAGAGGAAAGUGGAAUUCCUAGUGUAGUGGUGAAAUACGUAGAUAUUAGGAGGAAUACCAGUAGCGAAGGCGACUUUCUGGACACAAACUGACGCUGAGGUACGAAAGCGUGGGGAGCAAACAGG
rnacentral:rRNA from 1 species